rnacentral:rRNA from 1 species
GACGAACGCUGGCGGCGCGCUUAACACAUGCAAGUCGAACGGAAAGGCCUGCUUUCCCUUGUGGAUUGCGGGUACUCGAGUGGCGAACGGGUGAGUAGCACGUGAGUGAUCUGCCCCCAACUUGGGUAUAAGCCUGGGAAACUGGGUCUAAUUCCCGAUAGGACUGCAGGGUGGUGCCUGUGGUGGAAAACGAUUUUCUAGUGGUUGGGGAUGAGCUCGCGGCCUAUCAGCUUGUUGGUGGGGUAAUGGCCUACCAAGGCGGCGACGGGUAGCCGGCCUGAGAGGGUGGACGGCCACAUUGGGACUGAGAUACGGCCCAGACUCCUACGGGAGGCAGCAGUGGGGAAUAUUGCACAGUGGGCGGAAGCCUGAUGCAGCGACGCCGCGUGGGGGAUGACGGCCUUCGGGUUGUAAACUCCUUUCGACCGCGAGGAAGCCACCUGGUUGGAAGGGUGGUGACGGUAGUGGUAGAAGAAGCACCGGCUAACUACGUG